UCCUGCCUGCAAUAUGCACAGCUGUGCCGGGAGGAGCCUGGCCCUUCAUCAGGUACACCCUGCCCCACAGCUAUUUAGUCCCUGAGGAAGCACCAUCCCUCUUUUGGGGAGGGCAGCAGCUGCAGCUUCUCAUCCUGGCGUGACCACCAGCCUGUUUGCAAGCCCAACCUGGAGAGAUGUGGUGCCAUGGCCACUGGAGCUGGUGGGGCUGCCACUGCCAUCACCCAGGUACUGCCGGUGCCUUUGUUUUAAAGUCGGGGCACCCUAAAAGUAAAACGGCUUGGAUCUCAGCACUCCUUGCACGAAGGCCAGGGAGAGGUAGUGACUGUGAGGAGGGCCGAUUCUGGUCGCUGCCCAGAAUUGGGCUGAUUUUGGGAAUUCUGCAGGAGUAUCCCAUGCCCUGGUGCACGCCACGUGCAGAUUGUCAGGACUGGUGUUUGUACACAAGUUUUACAACUACUUGGGAUCAGAAAGGGGUUUGUCAUGUCGAGCAGUGGCUCAUGAGCACACGCGUGUUGUGGCGCAUGUUUACUCUGUGGAAAAUUGCAUUUAUAGACUGGGGAGAACAAGCUGCUCCCAGCGAGCCAGCUGUCAUUAUAGGUUAUGGCAGCCCUUCCCAGACCACUGCCUUAAACAGGAAGGCAGAGAGACGUCUGCCCUCUCUUCAGUUUUACAAACCAAACCCAUCACAGUGUUUUGAAAUGCUCAAACCAGAGCUCAGAAUAACCCCAUUCUUGUGCUUCGGUUUGUAUGUGCAAUUAUACCUUGCGACAGGAAGAAAACCAUGUUAAUUACAUUUCACAGAAAACACGUUUCUCUUCUGCUUUCCUAGACUGUUCUGCAGGGAGAUUACUGUGUUGAAAUAAAAACACGAACAAGCCAACCAACCGCUGUUUUCAUUGGAAAGCCCAGUUUCCCCCCUGCCACUCGUCAGGGUAGGCUCUGCUCGGAUGAAGAGAUUUCCUGGAGAGUAACAGCUGAACAACCUGCAGGAAAAAUGCUCCUUCUGGGCACUGCUCUCUUCCAGACCCUGUUUUCAGCUUUUUUAACACCUGAGUGUUCCUAACACCUUUCCCACUGGAGGCUUGGCUACCUGGGCAGCCUGCUGGGGUGGGCAGCUGGGAGAAGAAGACCAACACAUGAGAGUGUGGUGUGGGUGGUGGAACUGGUGCUCAUCAGUGUGGUUUUUAAAGAAUAAUGGCUUUAAUGUGCAAUAACACCAAUACAGGAGGAGUAAGCGGAGAAGAGCGAACAAGAGAGUUAGUGAGACUUAGUGGAGUAUUGUGUACUGUUUAAGUGGGGGCAUCUUGAAAAUGCUCCCGAGCACCAGAGGGUACGAUCCUUUGAAAUGCAGCACAGGUGGACACCUCUUAGCCAAGGGCUAAAAAAAUAUGCACUGGGAUGCCUUGUGUACGGCUGAAAAAAGUGAAAAAUUAACCCCAACAUGUGUGACAAAGGUGCAAGGUCUUAGAAGUAAGCCAUGGCCACUGCGAUCACGAAUAGGAGAAAUGCUCACAGCACAUCUGCUGGAUGGCAGGAUUUGGCCCAACGCAAGCUGUUGGGCUCGGGUUCCUCGUGCCCCCACUAAUUGCUGCAUGUGGAUGGCGUGGGGCAGCGGGUGCAGACAGGCUAAUUGUCCGCAGGCCGUGUGGUGGUGAAACAGGAGCAGCCCUGCUGUCUGAGGCUUCAAUUUGCAGUGUCUGCACAGCCCACGUAACAGAAAGCCGCCCAACACACAGUCCCUGCGUGUAUGAAUGCAGCUUUUCCCCACCGAAGUCUAUGGGGAGGACUUCCCGCUAGAGUUUAGAAGCGAUGGCCGCAGAAAGCAAUUAGGUGGCCAGGUUUCUGUUUGUUCUGGUGUUCUGUAUCUGUGGGGUUUGCUGCCAGUAUCCAU